GGACACUGUUGCUGUCAAUAUGGGGACCUUGUCUAUGGGUAAGAAUGCAAAAUGCUAGACAAGUGUUUGUACAGAUCAGAAAAGUUGAGAAUAAACAAUUAUGCCUACAGUAACCAUGGCUAAGAUCACACAAAUCUUAACUAUGGGAUCAAGUGUCUCAUCACAAGGUGAUCAGAAGCAAUGCCAGGUGUUUAAGGCCCCCAC